GGUGGGUAGGGCUGGCGAAGGAAGGUGCCGAACGUGAACGAUUCGCAGUCUUCCCAGACAUAUGACAAGAAAUGACUGAACGUGGAAAUCAAGGAACAGAGUUGGAUAAUGGACGUGUAAAGCGUCACCGUUACUGAAAGUGAUUCGUGACAACGUCCGGUGCAUCACCAAGGCACGAGUCUUUCCGAGACAUAGACAAGCAAGGCCUGCCGGGAAAAUGUGGGCAAAGGAGAUGCCAGGCAUCCGAGGAGACAGUGGUCCUGGCGGAAGCCGUCUUGGUGCCACUUCCCAUAGUUGGAUUCGUUGAAAGUCGUCUUCAUCAGCUUCUUGAGAAGACAUUUCAUAACUGGAUGUUUAGAGGACAGUCCGUAUGUCAAUCAUCUCUACAAGACCUGAUGGACAUCAGUCUUUCACGGACAUAUGACAAGAAAUGCCUGGACUUGCUAAGGGCGAAGGAGCUGGGAAUGGAGGCUUCAGGUGCUACCAUCACUGACGGUGCUUCGUGGCAACAUCCAGUUCAUCACCAAGCCAAGGAGUCAUUCAGUCUCUCCAAGGCUCCUUUUGCACUCAGGUCUUCAGCCCGUUUCUGUGUUAUACAGGCCCAAUGUGUGACUGGUUUGGUUUCUGUGGCUGUGUCGAUGGUCGGCAUUGUUUUUAGCGUUACUCUAAAUUCUGUUUUUUAGAAACAGGAACUU